rnacentral:misc_RNA from 1 species
GCGUCGCCAGCCUCGUCGUCUCGGGGGUGCUCGCGUACCGGGGGGCCGCCCUAGAGGCCAGGAUGGCGUCCCUCGAGGCCCGCUACCAGGAGAGGGCCGACCGGGACGACCUCGCCAUCCAGAGGCUUCGCAAGGAGGUCCAACACCUCCUCGACGCCGCCCUCAAGGCCGACGAGCCGCGGAGGAUCAAGAGGGACCUCGUCUCCGAGUGCAACUGCCCGCCAGGUCCACCUGGUGAGGCAGGACCGCCAGGGAAAAGGGGCAGAAAGGGGAAGAAAGGCGAGGUCGGUCAACCCGGUACGGUCGGGGCUGCUGGCAAGAACGGUUUCCCGGGAGCCAAGGGCGACAAAGGCGACCAGGGUGCCACGGGCCCGAUCGGCUUGGAUGGACCCAAAGGAGACCCGGGUCUACCUGGAAGCAAGGGAGAGAAGGGCGAACUUGGAAGCCCCGGAUUCGACGUCUUCUCUGCCGUGAAGGAAUUUCAGGAUCGAGGGUUUAAUAUCUCCACGGCUACCAUCGUGCAGCUCAAAGGAGAACCUGGCGAACCUGGACUACCCGGACCCGCGGGUCCCCCAGGACCCGAGGGAAUCCCUGGACAGGAUGGAAGACAAGGUAUCCCUGGCGACGUGGGACCUCCGGGUGAAAAAGGACCCGUCGGGCCCGUCGGUCCCCCGGGUCCUGCAGGACCUCCUGGACUUUCAGGCCUCAAGGGCGACAAAGGAGACAAGGGCGAUCGAGGCUUGACGACGUCGAUCAAUGGAGAAGCUGGAGUGCUAGAGGGUCCUCCGGGUCCUCCAGGACCUCCUGGACUCCCUGGGGAGAAAGGAGAGCAAGGCCCACCAGGUCCCACGGGACCUAUCGGACCCAGGGGCAAUCGUGGGAAGCCAGGGAAGAGGGGUGUCAAGGGUCAAAGAGGUGUCACGAUGACAGGCGGUGCCCCCGGGCCCCCGGGUGCCAAGGGUGAGCCCGGUGAACGGGGUUACCAGGGCGAGAAGGGCGCCAAGGGCUUUGGUCCACCAGGUCCCAGGGGAGAUCUUGGACCGCAAGGACCGCCAGGAUUGGACGGCAUCAACGGGGAGGCCGGCAUCCAAGGACCUCCCGGUGUUCCCGGAGAGGCCGGUCCCAAAGGAGAGAAGGGAGAAUAUGGAGAUAUUGGACCACCGGGCCUCAUGGGUCCCCCUGGUCUUCCCGGGCCCCCUGGCUAUCCCGGAGUUAAAGGAGAGAAGGGUGAGAAGGGAGAAUCGAAGUACAAAAAGCUGAGACGAAGACAGGGUGACGGCACAUUCGAAGUUAAUGCAGGCGAAGUGAUAGUAGGUCCACCAGGACCUCCUGGACCAGCGGGAACCCCGGGUCUUCAGGGUCCACCAGGAAUCAAGGGAGACCGAGGACACGACGGCGCUAAGGGUGAUCCUGGGGAGAAAGGUGCCAAGGGUGAUCCUGGUCCAAUGGGGCUGCCCGGGCCCAUGGGACUGAGAGGAGAGUCCGGAAGGCCCGGGGAUGCUGGGAAACCUGGUACCAUGGGUCCGCCAGGAUUAGACGGCAUGAAGGGCGCCCAGGGAGAGCCCGGAAUAAAGGGGGAACGAGGAGACCCCGGCCUGCCCGGUACCGAUGGGAUUCCUGGUGCAGAGGGUCCGAAAGGCGAGAAAGGAGCCGUGGGCGAGGUUGGUGCCUCGGGGAAGCGUGGGAGAAAAGGUGACAAAGGGGAUAAAGGGGAUCAAGGAGUUCCAGGAUUAGAUGCACCCUGUCCCUUGGGUCCUGACGGUCUUCCGUUAGAUGGCUGUGGCUGGAGACCACCUCAGCAGGAUAUCGUGAGCACCGCUUCUCCCACCAUCGAGGUCGCCGAGCCCGCGGAGACGAACUACGACGAGCAAGUGGAAGAAUACGACGACGACUAUCCCGAUCAGAAUGGGAACCUGGCGGAGAAAUAAAACUCACCAUGCGCUCUGCCCUACUCACCAUCUAGCUCGCAUUAUCAGAAACUCGACUCACCUUCCUACCAAACUAACGCAUCCUGCCGAAGAGCAACAUUCUCCGCGAAUGGCUAGAAGAAGAGGGACAGUGAUGGCUUCGCAGCGGACCUCGUCCCGCGAGGAAAUCACCUCGUCGUUAUCCACCCGUUCCCCUGCU